UACGUAGGCGGUUCGACAAGUGGGAUGUGAAAGCCCAGGGCUUAACCUUGGAACUGCAUUCCAAACUGUCGGGCUAGAGUAUGGUAGAGGGAGGUAGAAUUUCCUGUGUAGCGGUGAAAUGCGUAGAUAUAGGAAGGAAUACCGGUGGCGAAGGCGGCCUCCUGGACCAAUACUGACGCUGAGGUACGAAAGCGUGGGGAGCAAACAGGAUUAGAUACCCUGGUAGUCC
rnacentral:rRNA from 1 species